rnacentral:rRNA from 1 species
AACGAACGCUGGCGGCAGGCCUAACACAUGCAAGUCGAACGCCGUAGCGAUACGGAGUGGCAGACGGGUGAGUAACGCGUGGGAACAUACCCCUCGGUUCGGAAUAACUCAGGGAAACUUGAGCUAAUACCGGAUAAGUCCGAGGUUUUAAUCGACCUUGGAGAAAGAUUUAUCGCCGGAGGAUUGGCCCGCGUCUGAUUAGCUUGUUGGUGAGGUAAUGGCUCACCAAGGCGACGAUCAGAGCUGGUCUGAGAGGAUGAUCAGCCACAUUGGGACUGAGACACGGCCCAAACUCCUACGGGAGGCAGCAGUGGGGAAUAUUGGACAAUGGGCGAAAGCCUGAUCCAGCCAUGCCGCGCGAGUGAUGAAGGCCUUAGGGUUGUAAAGCUCUUUUACCCGGGAAGAUAAUGACGGUACCGGGAGAAUAAGCCCCGGCUAACUUCGUGCCAGCCGCCGCAGUAAG